AUUGAACGCUGGCGGCAGGCCUAACACAUGCAAGUCGAACGGGUGGCGGGCGGGUGAGUAAUGUCUAGGAAACUGCCCGAUGGAGGGGGAUAAGCAAUGGCAACGGUAGCUAAUACCGCAUACCAUGGGACGUGCACAGGUGGGGUUAGCUAGUUGGUGGGGUAACGGCCCACCUAGGCGACGAUCCCUAGCUGGUGUGAGAGGACGACCAGCCACACUGGAACUGAGACACGGACCAGACGCCUACGGGAGGCAGCAGUGGGGAAUAUUGCACAAUGGGCGAAAGCCUGAUCCAGCCAUCCCGCGUGUGUGAUGAAGGCCUUCGGGUUGUAAAGUACUUUUAGCAAGGAAGCGGUACUCGCAGAAUAAGCACCGGCUAACUCCGUGCCAGCAGCCGCGGUAAUAC
rnacentral:rRNA from 1 species